rnacentral:ncRNA from 1 species
AUAAUGUCCCAGGUUUUAAAAUUUGCCAAAAAAGUUUGAUUUUGGCUUGUUAUAUUUAUUUUUUGUUAAGUUGUACAUGUAAAUAUUUUUAUGAUUUUAAAAUCUAAAUGAUUUAAUAUUUAUUAAUUGCAGUUUUUAAUUUUAUUAUUUAAAGAGAUUUAGAGAUAGUUAAUUAACUUAAUUCUGACAAAGGUUGUGCCAGCAGUCGCGGUUAUACAAUCGGAGUAAAUAAAUAUGUUUAGUUAUAAUUUAAAUUUGAUAAUUUAUAAGUAAAAGUUAAUUUUUAGGUGAAAUUAGGAAUUAAUUUAAUUUAUUUUAAUUUGAGUUAAAUUGGAAAAUUCAUUUAUUAAACUAGGAUUAGAUACCCUAUUAUUUUGAAUUGUUAUUUGUAAUACUUUAUUAUUAAUAGUUAUGUUCUUUAAAUUAAAAGAAUUUGGCGGUAAUUUAGUCUUUUUAGAGGAACCUGUCCUGUAAUCGAUAAUCCACGAUGAAUUUUACUUUAUUUAUUGUUUAUAUACCUCUGUCAUGAAUGUUCUAUUAGGAAUUUUCGUUAAUUUUUAUUGAGAAAAAUGUCAGGUCAAGGUGUAAUUAUAAUAAAGAAGAGAUGGGUUACAUUAAUUAUAUUUUUGGAUUUAAUUAUGUAAAUUUUAAUGAAAUUGGAUUUAGAAGUAAUAGUUAUUAGAAAAUAACUUUGAUAUUUGCUCUGAAUUAUGCACAUAUCGCCCGUCACUCUCGUUGAAUUUAAUAAGAUGAGAUAAGUCGUAACAAAGUAGGCCUACCGGAAGGUGGGUCUGGUUAGU